rnacentral:rRNA from 1 species
CCAAUAGCGUAUAUUAAAGUUGUUGCAGUUAAAAAGCUCGUAGUUGAAUUUCGGGAUUGGCGCAUCGGUCGUGCCUCACGGGGUAUGAACUGGUGCAGUCAAUUUCUCACCUUCUGGAGAACCGCGAUGUCCUUAAUUGGAUGCCGCGGGGAACCAGGACCUUUACUUUGAAAAAAUUAGAGUGUUUAAAGCAGGCAUUUUUGCUUGAAUACAUUAGCAUGGAAUAAUAAAAUAGGACGGCAUGGUUCUAUUUUGUUGGUUUCUAGGACCACCGUAAUGAUUAAUAGGGAUAGUUGGGGGCAUCAUUAUUCAAUUGUCAGAGGUGAAAUUCUUGGAUUUAUUGAAGACUAACUACUGCGAAAGCAUUUGCCAAGGAUGUUUUCAUUAAUCAAGAACGAAAGUUAGGGGAUCGAAGACGAUCAGAUACCGUCGUAGUCUUAACCAUAAACUAUGCCGACUAGGAAUCAGACGAUGUUAAUUUUUUAAUGACUCGUUUGGCACCUUACG